GGACUUACUGGUCAUUUUCAUUUUCAUAUUUCUUUAUGGUGAGGGAAAUAAUUGAAAGUUAUAAUGGAGAAAGUGGUGAUUUUUUUUAUAGUAAACUUUUUAUAGAAAGAGUCCAGUUUUAAAGAUCAGAGCUUCACUAGUUGUGUGUUCCUGUGGCAUUACUCUCCCUUUCUGAUUAUUAUGGUGGCUUCCUUCAAAACGCUUUUCUUUUGUCCUUUUUAAAUGUCAUAUUGACUAUAGCCUUAAACAUCCAUCUUCAAAUUUUUUCCCCAGACUGGCCAGGCUGUUCUGUACUUUUGUACUUUUCCAGAAAGGCUGUUUAUGUUGGGUGGCAUAUCUGACUGUAGAAGGUACCAUCCAAGGGCAGCUCCAGUGAGUUUUAGGUCUUUUAAUUCAUGAUCUUGUGCUCUAGCUGGAUCACUGUUCCCUAAAGUUUUGCAUGGGAACCCCUAAAUUCUCCUCUUAGUCCUGGAAUAAGCUGUGGAAGGUUAAGUUUAAGUGCCACUUGGGUUACAGACUUGCUGUGUGACCUUGGGCAAAUUGCUUCUUCUCUCUGGGCCUCAGUUUCCUCGCUUAUGAAGCAGAAAGGAUAAUCCCUGCCUUACUUACCUCUUAGGAAUUCUGAGAGUAAAAAUAGGUAUUUACUUACCUUGCUUUGUAAGUUGGGAAGCUAAGCUAAUUGGGGGUUUAGUCCAUGUGGAAGUUACAAGUGGCCAGAAAAGAGCUGCAGAACAAGGGUUCAUGCAGAGUAGGGGGCUUUGGCUGCCACCUGAAAAUUCUGUGAUUUCAAGAUUGUUAAAUGACUUUCCCCCCUAAAUAUGACAUUCUUGUCUAUUUUAAUAAGGCUAAUGAAACUCAGAUUUGUUUUAUAACCACCCAAAGAAGUUUUGUGGCUUCUUUCUGGGUUUUUGUUUGUUUUUCUGUUGUACAUAAAGUCAGUAUUUCCAUUUGAUUUAACUUGCAGACAUUGGAAGAGAGGCUACACAGUGGAUAAGAGCUGUCUUUCAGGAUCCAGCAGAGUAGAACCCAAGAGGACAUUAAUCGAGAGACAAAGAAGGCAUCAAUUCAAACUUCCUUGGACACCUUUUUUAAGAGACCUGGGCCAUCCAAACCAUCCCCCAAAGCCCUUCUAAAUUCUAAGAAG